UGGGGAAUAUUGGGCAAUGGGCGAAAGCCUGACCCAGCAACGCCGCGUGAGUGAUGAAGGCCUUCGGGUUGUAAAACUCUUUGGACAGGGACGAAGAAAGUGACGGUACCUGUAGAACAAGCCACGGCUAACUACGUGCCAGCAGCCGCGGUAAUACGUAGGUGGCAAGCGUUGUCCGGAAUUAUUGGGCGUAAAGCGCGCGCAGGUGGUUUAGAAAGUCUGAUGUGAAAGCCCACGGCUCAACCGUGGAGGGUCAUUGGAAACUAAUAAACUUGAGUGCAGGAGAGAAAAGUGGAAUUCCUAGUGUAGCGGUGAAAUGCGUAGAGAUUAGGAGGAACACCGGUGGCGAAAGCGGCUUUUUGGCCUGCAACUGACACUGAGGCGCGAAAGCGUGGGGAGCAAACAGG
rnacentral:rRNA from 1 species